AAAUUGAAGAGUUUGAUCAUGGCUCAGAUUGAACGCUGGCGGCAGGCCUAACACAUGCAAGUCGAACGGUAACAGGAAGAAGCUUGCUUCUUUGCUGACGAGUGGCGGACGGGUGAGUAAUGUCUGGGAAACUGCCUGAUGGAGGGGGAUAACUACUGGAAACGGUAGCUAAUACCGCAUAACGUCGCAAGACCAAAGAGGGGGACCUUCGGGCCUCUUGCCAUCGGAUGUGCCCAGAUGGGAUUAGCUUGUUGGUGGGGUAACGGCUCACCAAGGCGACGAUCCCUAGCUGGUCUGAGAGGAUGACCAGCCACACUGGAACUGAGACACGGUCCAGACUCCUACGGGAGGCAGCAGUGGGGAAUAUUGCACAAUGGGCGCAAGCCUGAUGCAGCCAUGCCGCGUGUAUGAAGAAGGCCUUCGGGUUGUAAAGUACUUUCAGCGGGGAGGAAGGGAGUAAAGUUAAUACCUUUGCUCAUUGACGUUACCCGCAGAAGAAGCACCGGCUAACUCCGUGCCAGCAGCCGCGGUAAUACGGAGGGUGCAAGCGUUAAUCGGAAUUACUGGGCGUAAAGCGCACGCAGGCGGUUUGUUAAGUCAGAUGUGAAAUCCCCGGGCUCAACCUGGGAACUGCAUCUGAUACUGGCAAGCUUGAGUCUCGUAGAGGGGGUAGAAUUCCAGGUGUAGCGGUGAAAUGCGUAGAGAUCUGGAGGAAUACCGGUGGCGAAGGCGGCCCCCUGGACGAAGACUGACGCUCAGGUGCGAAAGCGUGGGGAGCAAACAGGAUUAGAUACCCUGGUAGUCCACGCCGUAAACGAUGUCGACUUGGAGGUUGUGCCCUUGAGGCGUGGCUUCCGGAGCUAACGCGUUAAGUCGACCGCCUGGGGAGUACGGCCGCAAGGUUAAAACUCAAAUGAAUUGACGGGGGCCCGCACAAGCGGUGGAGCAUGUGGUUUAAUUCGAUGCAACGCGAAGAACCUUACCUGGUCUUGACAUCCACGGAAGUUUUCAGAGAUGAGAAUGUGCCUUCGGGAACCGUGAGACAGGUGCUGCAUGGCUGUCGUCAGCUCGUGUUGUGAAAUGUUGGGUUAAGUCCCGCAACGAGCGCAACCCUUAUCCUUUGUUGCCAGCGGUCCGGCCGGGAACUCAAAGGAGACUGCCAGUGAUAAACUGGAGGAAGGUGGGGAUGACGUCAAGUCAUCAUGGCCCUUACGACCAGGGCUACACACGUGCUACAAUGGCGCAUACAAAGAGAAGCGACCUCGCGAGAGCAAGCGGACCUCAUAAAGUGCGUCGUAGUCCGGAUUGGAGUCUGCAACUCGACUCCAUGAAGUCGGAAUCGCUAGUAAUCGUGGAUCAGAAUGCCACGGUGAAUACGUUCCCGGGCCUUGUACACACCGCCCGUCACACCAUGGGAGUGGGUUGCAAAAGAAGUAGGUAGCUUAACCUUCGGGAGGGCGCUUACCACUUUGUGAUUCAUGACUGGGGUGAAGUCGUAACAAGGUAACCGUAGGGGAACCUGCGGUUGGAUCACCUCCUUACCUUAAAGAAGC
rnacentral:rRNA from 1 species